GAUGAAGACGUAGUGAAAUGCGAUAAGUAAUGUGAAUUGCAGAAUUCAGUGAAUCAUCGAAUCUUUGAACGCACAUUGCGCCCGCCAGUAUUCUGGCGGGCAUGCCUGUCUGAGCGUCAUUUCAACCCUCAAGCAACUUCUGCUUGGUGUUGGGGAUCGGCCGUCAAACGCCGCCCCCGAAAUCUAUUGGCGAUCUCGCUGUAGCUUCCUAUGCGUAGUAGUAACAUCUCGCAUCUGGAGAGCGGCGCGGUCAUGCCGUAAAACACCCAACUUCUCAGGUUGACCUCAGAUCAGGUAGGAAUACCCGCUGAACUUAAGCAUAUCAAUAAGCGGAGGA
rnacentral:misc_RNA from 1 species